GUGUCAGCCGCCGCGGUAAUACGUAGGUGGCGAGCGUUGUCCGGAAUUACUGGGUGUAAAGGGCGUGUAGGCGGGACGGUAAGUCAGAUGUGAAAUUCCGAAGCUUAACUUCGGCGCUGCAUCUGAAACUAUCGUUCUUGAGUGCUGGAGAGGAAAGCGGAAUUCCUAGUGUAGCGGUGAAAUGCGUAGAUAUUAGGAGGAACACCAGUGGCGAAGGCGGCUUUCUGGACAGUAACUGACGCUGAGGCGCGAAAGCGUGGGGAGCAAACAGGAUUAGAUACCCGCGUAGUCC
rnacentral:rRNA from 1 species